AGAGUUUGAUCCUGGCUCAGGAUGAACGCUGGCGGCGUGCCUAAUACAUGCAAGUCGAGCGAACGGACGAGAAGCUUGCUUCUCUGAUGUUAGCGGCGGACGGGUGAGUAACACGUGGAUAACCUACCUAUAAGACUGGGAUAACUUCGGGAAACCGGAGCUAAUACCGGAUGAUAUUUUGAACCGCAUGGUUCAAAAGUGAAAGACGGUCUUGCUGUCACUUAUAGAUGGAUCCGCGCUGCAUUAGCUAGUUGGUAAGGUAACGGCUUACCAAGGCAACGAUGCAUAGCCGACCUGAGAGGGUGAUCGGCCACACUGGAACUGAGACACGGUCCAGACUCCUACGGGAGGCAGCAGUAGGGAAUCUUCCGCAAUGGGCGAAAGCCUGACGGAGCAACGCCGCGUGAGUGAUGAAGGUCUUCGGAUACGUAAAACUCUGUUAUUAGGGAAGAACAUAUGUGUAAGUAACUGUGCACAUCUUGACGGUACCUAAUCAGAAAGCCACGGCUAACUACGUGCCAGCAGCCGCGGUAAUACGUAGGUGGCAAGCGUUAUCCGGAAUUAUUGGGCGUAAAGCGCGCGUAGGCGGUUUUUUAAGUCUGAUGUGAAAGCCCACGGCUCAACCGUGGAGGGUCAUUGGAAACUGGAAAACUUGAGUGCAGAAGAGGAAAGUGGAAUUCCAUGUGUAGCGGUGAAAUGCGCAGAGAUAUGGAGGAACACCAGUGGCGAAGGCGACUUUCUGGUCUGUAACUGACGCUGAUGUGCGAAAGCGUGGGGAUCAAACAGGAUUAGAUACCCUGGUAGUCCACGCCGUAAACGAUGAGUGCUAAGUGUUAGGGGGUUUCCGCCCCUUAGUGCUGCAGCUAACGCAUUAAGCACUCCGCCUGGGGAGUACGACCGCAAGGUUGAAACUCAAAGGAAUUGACGGGGACCCGCACAAGCGGUGGAGCAUGUGGUUUAAUUCGAAGCAACGCGAAGAACCUUACCAAAUCUUGACAUCCUUUGACAACUCUAGAGAUAGAGCCUUCCCCUUCGGGGGACAAAGUGACAGGUGGUGCAUGGUUGUCGUCAGCUCGUGUCGUGAGAUGUUGGGUUAAGUCCCGCAACGAGCGCAACCCUUAAGCUUAGUUGCCAUCAUUAAGUUGGGCACUCUAAGUUGACUGCCGGUGACAAACCGGAGGAAGGUGGGGAUGACGUCAAAUCAUCAUGCCCCUUAUGAUUUGGGCUACACACGUGCUACAAUGGACAAUACAAAGGGCAGCGAAACCGCGAGGUCAAGCAAAUCCCAUAAAGUUGUUCUCAGUUCGGAUUGUAGUCUGCAACUCGACUACAUGAAGCUGGAAUCGCUAGUAAUCGUAGAUCAGCAUGCUACGGUGAAUACGUUCCCGGGUCUUGUACACACCGCCCGUCACACCACGAGAGUUUGUAACACCCGAAGCCGGUGGAGUAACCUUUUAGGAGCUAGCCGUCGAAGGUGGGACAAAUGAUUGGGGUGAAGUCGUAACAAGGUAGCCGUAUCGGAAGGUGCGGCUGGAUCACCUCCUUU
rnacentral:rRNA from 1 species